rnacentral:rRNA from 1 species
AUGUAUAUAUACUGGCCUAUGGCCUUAUGGGAAUACAAGUUGCAUAUUCCUAUCAUGGUAUUAGAGCUGAGUCAGUAUUUUGCACCAUAUCCUAUGGUUUACUCGCCUCGCUUGUCACAGGAUUCUGCACCUUCAUCCCCAGUGAAUUCUUCGUCUACAUCCCCUAAGUCACAUUAUACUCGCCGUCCGCAUAAUGUGGAUGCGUCUAAUGAUGUGCUGUCCUCCUCGUCUGAGCUUACUUAUGGCUUGCGUCCUCGUCCGCUUCCACCUGUUGAUCGCCUUGGUUUUCGAACCACUGGCGCUGUUGUUCUUAAGCCGACUUAUUAUCGUGAAGCUGUUGUUCAUCCCGAGUGGCAGUUUGCAAUGACAGAGGAGCUUGCUACUCUUGAGCGCACCGGUACGUGGGAUCUUGUUUCUCUUCCUCUCCAUGUCCAUCCCAUCACUUGUAAGUGGGUCUACAAGGUUAAGACUCGCCCCAAUGGUUCUCUUGAGCAUUACAAAGCUCGUCUUGUGGCUCGUGGCUUUCAGCAGGAGCAUGGCCGUCAUUACGAUGAGACUUUUGUUCCUGUGGCCCAUAUGACCACUAUUGAUACACUUCUUGCCGUGGCCUCUGUUCGCCACUGGUCUGUAUCUCAGCUUGAUGUUAAGAAUGCCUUUCUUAAUGUUGAGCUGCGUGAGGAGGUGUACAUGCAGCCCCCACUUGGGUAUUCUGUUCCUGAUGGCAUGGUCUGCCGUCUUGGUCGCUCUCUCGAUGGCCUUAAGCAAGCCCUUCACGUCUGGUUUGAGUGUUUUGCCUCUGUGGUGACCGCCCGCUGGUUUUUCAGCGAGUGCUCAUGA